rnacentral:ncRNA from 1 species
UGCCAAAUGACUCGCUCAUCGGACAUCGUAAAAGGUGUUGGUUCACUUUGCCAGUAGGACGGUGGCCAUGGAUCUCGAUGUCCGCCAAGAAAUGUAUAACCUUCCGAAUGAAAUAGCCCUGAAAAUUGACGGCAGUGCAGAGGAUUA